rnacentral:ncRNA from 2 species
CCUGCUUACGGUGAUGGAUUUCCACCGCGAACCGCCGGUGCCCCGCGCCCCGCGCUGAUGAUUCCUACGCAACG